AUGCCGUCGGCCGCCACCCGUUCGUCAUCCAUGGGUGCCGGCGACAUUGAGUUCGCCCUCGACCUCGAGGACAUCGCCGCCCGCGCAGCCAAAGCGGACUGCAUCGGCGCGCUCGCCUGCGGCCGCACAAGCUUCUCCUACCACCGCCUCCCCGAGCCGCCCCUCCGCCUCACCGUCCGCAAGCUCGACGAUUCCUACUUCGGUGUGCAGGUCGCCAGGUCGGCCGCUGUGUGGGAGCUCAAGGCGGCAAUACAAGGCGUGUUCAUCGCUCUCUACAAUGACAUGGAGAAUGCUGUCACUUGGCAGCACGUGUGGAGCCACUUCUGCUUAUGCUUCAAGGAUGAGAAAAUGACGGAUGACAGGGCAACCUUGCGUGCAUUUGGUAUAAGAGAUGGUGAUGAGCUCCAUUUCGCCCAGCAUCUCUCCGUUGACUACAGCCCUUGCAAGAGUUCAAAAAGUCAAAGGGCAACAUCUCACAGAAGGUCAAGGACUUCAGUGGAAGGUUUUAGUGUCAGACCACGGAGUUUGAUGGAUGAUCUGAUCGAAGAAGAUGAGGCCGAGAAGAAGCUUGCCGCUACUAGGCAUUCAACCAGUAUUCUGGAUGAAGAUUUUUGUGUUUAUGAGCACCACGAGCAGCACGUGGAGGAAGAUCGUAAGAAAGGAAUCUCUGUUCGCGGUUGGUUCUCAUAUUCUAGAUUGAGGGGUAACAGGAGAACACACUCCGAGAAUAUUGAGCAACCCUCUUGCGAAAAGGGCAGUCGACCAAAGCUAGGGAAAUGGCUGUCUUCCAAAAUGUCGAAGGCCCGGAGUAAAUGA
rnacentral:rRNA from 1 species